rnacentral:lncRNA from 1 species
CUUGAAUCGCUACUCUUGCCAUUUCAUUAGGCAACUUCCAAGCACAAAUUCAUACAGAGAAGUUACCUUCCUCUCUACCGCACUAGCAGGCUGGCGCUGAGAUGGGCAGGUGCUGCAGCAGCCCGGCUGGAAGCGAUGCAGCAUCCAGGACGACGGAGGAAGGGGCAGAGAGGGACCUCCGCUUUCCAGGCUGCCUUUUAUACUGCCUCUGGUCACCUGACAUGGAACGUACCCUAACCUAAUCAGUUACCUGUACCUUAAUUGCAAUUAACUUAAUCCAAUUACAUGACCUGGAAAGGUCUAUCUGCACAGCCCACUCUAAGAUCAUGUCCACUGCUGACAGACAUUCUAAAACCUACUUGUACAGCUGCAAGCUUUGAACAAUAGAUGUUCCCCGUCAGACAUGUAACACUGGUGCCUGUACCCCUGUCUUCUUUUCCAUCUUUUUUGUUGUUUUGUUUUGUUUUGUUUUAAAAAAUGUGGUAAAAUAGACACCUUUUAAUUGGACCACAUUUUGUCUAUCUCGACGUAGGCCUCAGUGUCAUCAAGGAGACUCUCCUUGACAUGCAGUCACGGCCAUGAUCCAUCUUCAGAGCUUCUCUUUCUUCCCCAAGGCUGGCGCUGAGAUGGGCAGGUGCUGCAGCAGCCCCGCUGGAAGCGAUGCAGCAUCCAGGACGACGGAGGAAGGGGCGGAGAGGGACCUCUGCUUUCCAGGCUGCCUUUUAUACUGCCUCUGGUCACCUGACAUGGAACGUACCCUAACCUAAUCAGUUACCUGUACCUUAAUUGCAAUUAACUUAAUCCAAUUACAUGACCUGGAAAGGUCUAUCUGCACAGCCCACUCUAAGAUCAUGUCCACUGCUGACAGACAUUCUAAAACCUACUUGUACAGCUGCAAGCUUUGAACAAUAGAUGUUCCCCGUCAGACAUGUAACACUGGUGCCUGUACCCCUGUCUUCUU